rnacentral:piRNA from 1 species
UGCCUUUGAAGAUUCCACUUCAGGAUGGA